AGUGAACGCUGGCGGUAGGCCUAACACAUGCAAGUCGAACGGCAGCACAGUAAGAGCUUGCUCUUACGGGUGGCGAGUGGCGGACGGGUGAGGAAUACAUCGGAAUCUACUUUUUCGUGGGGGAUAAGGUAGGGAAACUUACUCUAAUACCGCAUACGCCCUACGGGUGAAAGGAGGGGAUCUUCGGACCUUGCGCGAUUGAAUGCGCCGAUGUCGGAUUAGCUGGUGGGCGGGGUAAAGGCCCACCAAGGGGACGGUCGGUAGCUGGUCUGAGAGGAUGGUAGCCACACUGGAACUGAGACACGGUCCAGACUCCUACGGGAGGCAGCAGUGGGGAAUAUUGGACAAUGGGCGCAAGCCUGAUCCAGCCAUACCGCGUGUGUGAAGAAGGCCUUCGGGUUGUAAAGCCCUUUUGUUGGGAAAGAAAAGCAGCAGGUUAAUACCCCGCUGUUCUGACGGUACCCAAAGAAUAAGCACCGGCUAACUUCGUG
rnacentral:rRNA from 1 species